UGUUGAGAGACGAUCCGAUUAAAAUACAUCUUUUUAUAAAAUUAUAUUUAAGGCAUUGAACUGACUUGGAGUAGUCGGACAUGGAUAAAUCCAAUCGGAAUUUCAUGCGAAUCAAGAAUACCAUAUGCACCCACUGAUGAAACCGAGCAGUGGCAAAGCAGAGGGGUGGCAGAGGGGCGGCACAGGGGCGGCAGUAUGCCUGCUCGCUAAUUUCUAUUGUUGGUUGAGACGACCACCCAAAAGUUUUUGAUUGUUGUUGUAGCGGACCACCCAAAAAUACAUUUUUUGCUGUUGUUGUUGCCUUCAUUAAACUCAACGACCGGCA